rnacentral:rRNA from 1 species
UACGUAGGGUGCGAGCGUUGUCCGGAAUUAUUGGGCGUAAAGAGCUUGUAGGCGGUUUGUCGCGUCUGCUGUGAAAAUCCGGGGCUCAACCCCGGACUUGCAGUGGGUACGGGCAGACUAGAGUGUGGUAGGGGAGACUGGAAUUCCUGGUGUAGCGGUGAAAUGCGCAGAUAUCAGGAGGAACACCGAUGGCGAAGGCAGUCUUCCAAGCCGUUAUUGACGCUCAACUGCGAAGGUGUGGGUAUCAAACAGGAUUAGAUACCCUGGUAGU